UAGGUUCUUUUCUGAGUACUUCCUCCGUUCCUAAAUAUAUGUCUUUUUAGAGAUUUCACUAUGGACUACACACGGAGCAAAAUGAGUGAACCUACACUCUAAAAUAUGUCUAUAUACAUCCGUAUGUAGUUUGUUGUGGAAUCUCUAAAAAGACUUACAUUUAGGAAUGGAGGGAGUAUAAUAUAGUACACACUGACUUGGUUGGUAGCAUUUUUAGAAAGAUGGUGUUUCUUUACUUCUAUCAACAGAAGUUUGGGAGUCUGUAAAUGCUGCAAGAAUGGAUUUGGAAGGGAUGUUUUUGUUUUCUAUGAACAACCGAAACAACAAUAAGGUAGUAACGAAAGUAUACAAAUGCUCUGAAAAUUUGAUUCGCUUCUGUGUAACUUUAGUUCAGUAAACUAGAUCAUCCAGAACUAGUUUAUGUUGGAUGUAAUUCGUUUAAUUUUUUUGGUUUGUUGGCAAAAAAAAAAGAGAUCGUUUUCUUAACGAGUAAGUUGGAAACCUAGCCGGUUUAGAUCAUGACCACGACAUGAGACCAUCUGGCUUACCGGCGUCUGCCAAGAACAGAUCAAAAAUUGAGUUAGGGUAUUUGACUCCUCUUGUUGUAUGCACCGCCAUCGACUUCAUAAUAUGAUUGUGUGUGGGGUUUCCUUUUGUAUUUGCAACUAUACUAGUUUUUUUCUAUAACAACUAUACUACGCGUAUUGUGUACAUACAUAGGAAUUGCUAUUUUUUGCACGAGAAUGUUAACUGAGUACAUAUUGUGUAAUUCUCUCAAUUAAUUCAACCACAUACAUAGGAAUUCAACCAGCUUAUCUUUUCUGAAAAAAAGAUGAUAUGCAACAUAAGAGAGAACUAUAUAAUUUCCAGGUUAUAUUUGGCUAACAGGGCUUUCUUAUGGUCCUCGCGGAAGUGGCAGGAGUGCCGCAAUUGACUUACUAAUUACAGCUAUAUGAAUCUACAGAUGGGCAAGCAUGCUAUUUUCCUAGAAAAAGAAAUGCUUCAUUUGCACGGUUCUGUCGCCAUACACAUGUUUGGCGAGGAUGACUUGGCGUAGGUGGUGCUCGAGCACCGUUAAAUAGAAUAACAUGUGAGCGAAGGCGUAGGUGGUGGUAGCAAGGCACGAGGGGGGGUUUAUCAUUGCCGAUACAAUAAGAUCAGAUAUUUACGUAUUUAUUUGUGGUCAUCAGGUAAUGUAUGUAUACACAGCUUCUUUUAAUGCGCUAGACAUGCUGUUCCGUAUCUUAUAUGAAUGAUUAAUAAGGUCAACCACAUUUGUUCUUCUGGCUUCACUGUCAGUUGUAUGGUGUAGCUCUGAAUUUCUAAUAUGCUAAGUGGUGACACUAUGUCUGUGUGACAUCUCCAAGAAACAUUGGCUCAUCUACAAGAUCAAAAGGAAGGACUGAAAAUUCUGGCAGAAGGUGCUCGCGGCAUUCCAACAAAUACUACUACAAAUAUUGUAUACAAUGAAAAAUUCUGGCAGAAGGUGCUCGCGGCAUUCCAACAAAUACUACUACAAAAAUUGUAUGCAAUGAAAUCAUCCAUUCUUUACAGGCAAUUCCAACUAGGAAACAGUUAUCUUGGUGGUCACGAGCACUUUAUCAGACCCGUUGUUCUGACUUUCUGCUCUACUUGUGUUUGUGAAAAAAACUCUGUACAUUCUGCCAUGUGAACAGUUUAUCCUACGUCUAUAUAUUUAGUCAGCACAUUUUGUUGUAUAUGCUGAAGUCCGCAUUUUGAUGUAUAUACUUGAGUGCGCUGACAGAGAACUCUUUAUCGUAUCACAUAUGUGUGUUUCAUCCAACUGGUGUGUAGA